AGCUUGACAGAUUGUAUGAAAGUCUUUACAUGAGUAGCUCUGCAGUAGUGCGAAGGUGGAAGAUUGAUUUCUCAUCUUUUAAUUUGGAAGAAUCAACUUCCUUCCCUUUGAUGAAGUCAAUAUUUCCAAGAUGGAGGAUUGCUGCUACUACGCGGAAAAUAGCAUCCUGUAGAUGGAGACAUUCAUUGAUCAAAUAUAGGAAUGGAUUGAAUGAAAUCACUGUUUCAUCGAAAUGAGAAGAACUGAUGCUUUGGACCAGAACCUGCUCAUCCUGGUUGAUGCCUACAAUAUCCAUUGCAUUUCUGGUCUCCAGCUCCACUCUCUCCACUCACCAAAAUGGACUGGCUUCCAUUAUCAUUAAUCAUUGCCCUGAUAUAUCAUGCUAAGGUAUCUGCAAUAGCAAAAAGGUGAGGGCUUAGCUCUCCAAAUGCUGCUCCUUUAUACUGCUCCAUCAUAUGUAUAUCAUACAAGUGUGGCAAUCUCCGGAAAGGAUUUACUGCUAUUAAGAUAUUCCCUGUAUAUGUCUGCUUAUACCAUUGUUAGUACACAGAUUUUACUCCUCUCUUUCAUGCCAUCAAUGUAAGGAAUGUAAAAGGCAGAAUGAGUUGAUUCGGUUGUUGAGACUCACGUAUAUC